rnacentral:lncRNA from 1 species
UUCGUGCUUUUCCACAGUUUCUUUGAUCAAUAUUUUUAACAAAGCAUAACAUAAUAACUGGGUAUGAUUGAAGGAAAAUAUGAGAAAUUUUUCUGCUACAGAAAAUGAAAUUCUCCAUUGAAGAUUUUCAUUGCUAGACCCUUUGUAACCAAUUGGAACAAAAAGUACUACACAGAAUAUUAUUUUAGAAAUAACAUCAGGACAAGGCCAUGUUGUUCUAGGUCUAAUGAUCCAUGGUUGUGCUUG